UGGGAGUUCUGCUGAGACUGAGCAGACCCCCCUGCCCGCCCGAGCUGGGCAGGGGGGGAGGGGAGCCAUGUGGCCGGAGGUAGGCCAGGCCUGGGCCCAAGGGUGGAGGAGAACAUUGCAAGGGCUUCGGGCAGCCAUCCUCCAUUCCCCCCCCCCCGGAGAGAGGGAGAGAGCCAGAGCCGGCACCUGUGAUAGUGGCCCGGCGUGAAGGAGAAGGGGGGGGUGCCCAGCAGGGCAGCCAAGCGUGGGAGUUCAUGGAGCAAACCGGCAGAGCCUGGGACUUUUAACCCUUCUGGGGAGGAUGGAAACCUUGCAAAUGCUGAUUCCUCCUGAAGUUGAUGAGAUUGAGAGGAUGUUGAGAAGAAUCCUAGGUGGGAGGAGAUGAUGGAGUGGCCUUUGGCUGGACUUUUCUUGUAUAGCCACAGCAGAACCCCUUGUGUUCCUGUGACACAGAGACUGCGUUCUAGGGGGAGGCGAUGGCUCAGAGCCAGGAGAGUGCAGUGAUGUGGAGGAGUGAACAGAGACGACGGGUGAGGAGGGUGGUGGUGGUGCCCUCCGCUUUGAAGAAGAGGAAGAGGAAGAUGAUCUCUGUUCAAGAGACCCCUCGGCCCCAGGGGGUGUAAUUUGGGGGGGACAAGUGUCCCAAAAGGAGAGGGACUGUGCUCUUUUUGGAACUGGACAAAGUAUCCUUAAAGGGAAAAACCCUAGAAGCAGCUCUGAUCCAUGUGCAGUGGUGAGAGCACUGGACAUGGAAGGAAGAAGUCACGAUGGCAAAAUGUUCUCCGGGCGGUGCCACACGUGACAUGGAAACACGAGAAGUUUCGACUGUUUCCUGGGGAAGUCUGUGGUGCAAGAGGGACUCCUCUCUUCUCGAGGAAUUGAGAACUGAUUAUCUAAAGGGUGGAUUUGGUGGUAAUGGAAUUGGAAAUCUAGGUGGGGGGAGGAGGAAGAAAUUUGGAAGGUUUUCAUCUUGGGUUCUAUGUGUUUUGUGUGUUUUUCCUUAGUGUUUUCCUUUGUAAUUUUAGGUUAAUAAAGUUUUUUUCCUUUAAACCUCAAGUUGGAGCCUGCUCUGCUCUGUCUCUGAUCACAUCUCACAGUGGGUGCCAGGGAAGGAGGUGAUCUCGUCGGGGCACUGGCAUUGCGCCAGGCUCAAACGAUGACAAGAACCUAACAUGAAAUGCAGAAUUGAUGACUUAUUGGGGGAGAAAAAGUUUCAAAUUAUAUUCUAGAGGAAGCAUUGCUUGAUUGUACUUUCCACAAAACCUUCUCAUCUUAAACACAAAAGAUAGGAUAGUGAACUCCAUGCAUUAUGGAUAAGAAAGCACGACAUAUGUUCUACCCGCAUCGCUGAAGGGCAGCAGAGAAUCUAUCCUGGACACAUCUGGAACCACCUCUUACAGACAUGCAGAAAGGUUCUGAUGUCUUCUCACUGAAGACAACCCUGCUGCUGCCAAAACCUUGCCUCCUAAACCUAAUACAUGUAUAUUGUUAGCUUACAUGCUAAUGCUGUGCAGAUUCACAUAUCUAGUCUGGGUGGGGGUGUCCUUAUUCUCUGCCUGCUCUGCAGAGCUAUGCUGCUGUCAGAAUUGCUGCUUGUGUCCUGCAUGUAAAAAUUAAAUUCUUCUAUUUCCAUUAUAUGCAGUUUCAGUAGUGAAAAAUCCAGCAGGCAUUUCAUCAUCACCCAGAUCUCUUCUCUUCUUCAACUUUUUGCAAUAGAUAUGUGUAACACUUCU